UGGGGGAUAGUGAGGGGAUAAAUUUUCUUAAGGAACUCGGCAAAAUCCCAAUGGCCCACCAGGGCAUAUUGGAACACGGGCCUCGACUGUUUACCAAAAACAUAGCCCUCGGCCAAUAUGAAAAUAGAUGUAUAGAGGGUGAUGCCUGCCCAAUGGUUGUAUCUAAAAGCGGUUGAUAAAAGUCGACCUCGUAAGGACAAUUGAAUGGCCGCGGUAACACUGACCGUGAUAAUGUAGCGUAAUCAAUAGCCAAUUAAUUGUUGGCCAGUAUGAAUGGCGCCACGAAGGCCCCACUGUCUUAAGGAAAUUCCCAGUGAAAUUGAAUUCGUAGUGAAGAUGCUACGUCCAAUUUGUUAGACGAAAAGACCCCGUUGAGCUUUACUGGGGCACUUACACGGCCCCGGCCUUCCCGUGUCCGGGAACCGGCCGAAUUUAAAUGGGUGGUUUAGACUAUGUGGCAGCCCCCCGCCGGGGCAGAUGAAACCCCACUCCCCCAUGUCAAAGGGGCUAACCCCCCCUUGGGGGGGAGAGUGUAAGUAGGACAGUUUGGUUGGGGCGACCGCCUUUUAAAGAGUAACGAAGGUGCGCUUAAGGUGCGCAAUUAAUGACUGAAGCCUGACUGCGAGGGGGACACCCCGAGCAGACACCCCUAAGCCCGCCCGAAGGGCGGCGGUGGGGUGGGCCAUAGUGACCCGUUAAUUUAGAGUGGAAUAGUUAACGAUCAACGAAUAAAAG
rnacentral:rRNA from 1 species